UACGGAGGGUGCGAGCGUUGUCCGGAAUCAUUGGGCGUAAAGGGCGCGUAGGUGGCGGGACAAGCGUGCGGUGAAAGCUCGGGGCUCAACCCCGAGUCGGCCGUGCGUACUGUUUUGCUUGAGCACUGUAGAGGCAGGCGGAAUUCCGGGUGUAGCGGUGGAAUGCGUAGAGAUCCGGAAGAACACCGGUGGCGAAGGCGGCCUGCUGGGCAGUAGCUGACACUGAGGCGCGACAGCGUGGGGAGCAAACAGG
rnacentral:rRNA from 1 species